rnacentral:rRNA from 1 species
UAGGGAAUCUUCCACAAUGGGCGAAAGCCUGAUGGAGCAACGCCGCGUGUGUGAUGAAGGGUUUCGGCUCGUAAACACUGUUGUAAGAGAAGAAGUGACAUUGAGAGUAACUGUUCAAUGUGUGACGGUAUCUUACCAGAAAGGAACGGCUAAAUACGCGCCAG